rnacentral:rRNA from 1 species
UGCAGUCGGACGGUAGCACAGAGGAAGCUUGCUCCUCGGGUGACGAGUGGCGGACGGGUGAGUAAUGUCUGGGGAUCUGCCCGAUAGAGGGGGAUAACCACUGGAAACGGUGGCUAAUACCGCAUAACGUCGCAAGACCAAAGAGGGGGACCUUCGGGCCUCUCACUAUCGGAUGAACCCAGAUGGGAUUAGCUAGUAGGCGGGGUAACGGCCCACCUAGGCGACGAUCCCUAGCUGGUCUGAGAGGAUGACCAGCCACACUGGAACUGAGACACGGUCCAGACUCCUACGGGAGGCAGCAGUGGGGAAUAUUGCACAAUGGGCGCAAGCCUGAUGCAGCCAUGCCGCGUGUAUGAAGAAGGCCUUCGGGUUGUAAAGUACUUUCAGCGGGGAGGAAGGCAGUGAGGUUAAUAACCUUACUGAUUGACGUUACCCGCAGAAGAAGCACCGGCUAACUCCGUGCCAGCAGCCGCGGUAAUACGGAGGGUGCAAGCGUUAAUCGGAAUUACUGGGCGUAAAGCGCACGCAGGCGGUCUGUUAAGUCAGAUGUGAAAUCCCCGGGCUUAACCUGGGAACUGCAUUUGAAACUGGCAGGCUUGAGUCUCGUAGAGGGGGGUAGAAUUCCAGGUGUAGCGGUGAAAUGCGUAGAGAUCUGGAGGAAUACCGGUGGCGAAGGCGGCCCCCUGGACGAAGACUGACGCUCAGGUGCG